UUCGUCUAGUGGUUAGGACGUCCGACUUCUAAUCGGAAAACACCGGUUCGAAUCCGGUACGGGCCA
rnacentral:tRNA from 1 species